rnacentral:rRNA from 1 species
AGGAUGAACGCUGGCGGUCUGCUUAGCACAUGCAAGUCGAACGGAGUACCUCGGUACUUAGUGGCGGACGGGUGAGUAACGCGUGAGAAUCUGCCCUUAGGUCGGGGACAACCAUUGGAAACGAUGGCUAAUACCGGAUAAGCCGAGAGGUAAAAGAUUAAUUGCCUAGGGAAGAGCUCGCGUCUGAUUAGCUAGUUGGUGAGGUAAAGGCUCACCAAGGCAUCGAUCAGUAGCUGGUCUGAGAGGAUGAUCAGCCACACUGGGACUGAGACACGGCCCAGACUCCUACGGGAGGCAGCAGUGGGGAAUUUUCCGCAAUGGGCGAAAGCCUGACGGAGCAAGACCGCGUGAGGGAGGAAGGCUCUUGGGUUGUAAACCUCUUUUCUUGGGGAAGAACAAAAUGACGGUACCCAAGGAAUCAGCAUCGGCUAACUCCGUGCCAGCAGCCGC